CACAUACACAGGUUCAUAUAGUUUCUGUCUACUGACUUCACUCACAAGGCUUUAGUCAGCUUAGGUUAUUGGGUGAAGAUACUUGCCCAGGGUACCAUACAUUAAGACUGAACCCAAAAUCACAUGCUGCCAAGUGAAUUUCCCAAUCCCACAACCAUAUCUGCAUUUGUUAUUAUUAAUACUACUAACAUUUAUUAGUAUUAUAUUACUUAAUAAACAGAUGAUUAAACCAAAAAACAAAUUUAGUUCUUAACACAAAGAGUUCAGAAUUCUUCAAAGAUCAAGCACUGGAAUGGUGUGUUUGUUCAUCAUUCACAUGUUAUUGAUGUUUUAUGAGGAAAUGAAGAAAGGCCUGGUGGUAUUUGUUCCAGCUCUUUAUAUUCCAAGCUCACAUUCCACCAAGGUUGACUUCAUCUUUCAUCCGACCGAGGUUGAUAAAAUAAAGUCCCCAGUCAAAUACUGGGGUCGAUGAUAUCAACCAACACCCUCCCUUCAGAAUUCUUGGUCGUUUGCUUUUGGACCUAAAUUUAAGAAAACAAAUAUGACUUAAUUUAUUCAAAGGCAGUGUCUGGGAGAAACAGAGUGUUGGAAGAAAUGCCUGGCACUAUUUGUUCCAGCCCUUUAUGCUUUGAGCUCAAAUUCUGCUGAGGUCAUCUUCAUCUCUCAUCCCUCUACGAUUGAUAAAAUUUAGUACCAGUGAAGUUGAAGGUUUUGACUAGAACCCCCCUCCCUCAAAAUUGGGGCAUUGAGCCUAAAUUAAAAAAUUAGCAUCAGUUCUUUCAUUUAUUCAAUUAUUUAUUAGAAAUGGUAGAUUUCAUCUGGAUUCAUUUUUAUUACCAAAAACAAGCAAAAUAUUUUGUAUUGCGUAAAGAAUGCACAAGAAUGUAGAUUGGAAGAAUUUCUAAAGCAACAGACAAAAUGCUUUGUGGUAUUUUUUCCAGCUCAUUAUACUGAGGUCAACUUUGUUUUCAUCCCACCGGGGGCCAAUAAAAUAAAGCACCAGUCCAUUACUGGGAUUCUUAUAAUCAAUUAUUAUCCUCCCCCUAAAUUCCAAGCCUUGUGUCUAUAUGUUUGAAACAAUUAUGUGAACAAUGCAUUCUUAUAAGUUAAUUUUUAUUUUUUAUUUCUAAUGAAAAUUUCAAUCAAUAUUUCGAAGUAAAUUGUCUUCAUAAAGUGAUAAAUUUUAUUUGAAACAGUAAAAGAUCUUACCUCCAAAACUAUUUGGAGUCAGCCAAAGUUUUAGUUUGUUCCUUUAUUUUUCAUGGACUUUCAUGCAAUUGUUACCAUUUCUAGUUGUUUCUUACAGAUGAUAUGAUUAACCCAGUGAGGGCUGUGGAUUGGAAGAAUGUUAGUGUCAAACAAAAUACCAUGCAGCGUGUGUUUCGGCUCUUUACCUUCUGAGUUCAAAUCUUGCUCAGGUUAACUUUACCUGGGUUUCACAAAAUAAAGUACCAGUCAUAUACUGGAAUCAUUUUAAUCAACUAACUGCAACCUCCAAAUUCCAGGCCCUUGUGCAUAUGUUAGCAACAAUUACUCGGUGAUGCACAUCAUGGUUCACGUGGACUGCAAUCUGUCCAUACCCAAAUUUUGGUGGCCCACAGUGAAUUUUAUGUCCUGCUGUUUCAUUGCAUAAUAUGACUAAAAUUAAAUGUAUAUCUGGUGGCCCAUCAAGUUUUCUUCAUUAAUUUUUUUAGUGGCCAACCUUCUGUAAAAAGUUUAUUACACUUUAAAUGACCUAUGGCCAAUCAGGGCCUGUAAGAAAAGGUGAGGAGAUCAGCUGGUACUUUAGUCUGGGACCAAAAGAGCAUAAGAAACGGCUUCAAGACAAUCUGUCAGGCACCAAGUACCCUAAAAAAAUUCUUUUUGAUAAUUCUACCCACCCGUGAAUUUGGGGCCCCCGAAAGCUCUUUUGCUCCCCCCUUGCCAACCCAAUUUCUCUUAGAGGCCCUGGUGGCAGUGAUCUCAAAGACAAAAUAUUCUUCUGAACCAUGAUGUUGCUGCCUGCUGCAUAUAUUAAUUAAUUAAUGAUUUAAAGCAGUGAUUU